rnacentral:rRNA from 1 species
GAUGAACGCUGGCGGCGUGCCUAAUACAUGCGAGUCGAGCGAACGGACGAGAAGCUUGCUUCUCUGAUGUUAGCGGCGGACGGGUGAGUAACACGUGGAUAACCUACCUAUAAGACUGGGAUAACUUCGGGAAACCGUAGCUAAUACCGGAUAAUAUUUUGAACCGCAUGGUUCAAAAGUGAAAGACGGUCUUGCUGUCACUUAUAGAUGGAUCCGCGCUGCAUUAGCUAGUUGGUAAGGUAACGGCUUACCAAGGCAACGAUGCAUAGCCGACCUGAGAGGGUGAUAGGCCACACUGGAACUGAGACACGGUCCAGACUCCUACGGGAGGCAGCAGUAGGGAAUCUUCCGCAAUGGGCGAAAGCCUGACGGAGCAACGCCGCGUGAGUGAUGAAGGUCUUCGGAUCGUAAAACUCUGUUAUUAGGGAAGAACAUAUGUGUAAGUAACUGUGCACAUCUUGACGGUACCUAAUCAGAAAGCCACGGCUAACUACGUG